rnacentral:rRNA from 1 species
UACGGGGGGGGCAAGCGUUGUUCGGAAUUACUGGGCGUAAAGGGCUCGUAGGUGGCCAACUAAGUCAGACGUGAAAUCCCUCGGCUUAACCGGGGAACUGCGUCUGAUACUGGAUGGCUUGAGUUUGGGAGAGGGACGCGGAAUUCCAGGUGUAGCGGUGAAAUGCGUAGAGAUCCGGAGGAACACCGACGGCGUAGGCAGCGCCCUGGACGACACCUGACGCUGAGGCACGAAAGCUGGGGGAGCGAACAGG